CCUACGGGAGGCAGCAGUAGGGAAUCUUUCACAAUGGGCGCAAGCCUGAUGCAGCAACGUAGCGUGCAGGAUGAAGGCCUUCGGGUUGUAAACUGCUUUUAUAAGCGAGAUAAAUGGUGGUAACUUAUGACUAAGGAUCGGCUACCUACGUGCCAGCAGCCGCCGUCAUACGUAGGAUCCGAGGAUUAUCCGGAGUGACUGGGUGUAAAGAGUUGCGUAGGUGGGAUAAUAAGUAGCUAGUGAAAUCUGGUGGCUCAACCAUUCAGACUAUUAGCUAAACUGUUAAGCUCGAGACCGUUAGGGGUAACUGGAAUUUCUAGUGUAGGAGUGAAAUCCGUAGAUAUUAGAAGGAACACCAAUAGCGUAGGCAGGUUGCUGGGACGGUUCUGACACUAAGGCACGAAAGCGUAGGGAGCAAACGGGAUUAGAUACCCGAGUAGUC
rnacentral:rRNA from 1 species